CCUGGAACUCACUUUGUAGACCAGGCUGGCCUUUAACUCACAGAGAUCCGCCUGCCUCUGCCUCCUGAGUGCUGGGAU
rnacentral:miRNA from 1 species